AUAAAGGUCCCUUCCAACCUGUGGGUUGGUGUGCCAUUCUAUGACUCUAUGAUAUGAUUCUGUGACAUGGGACCACAGUGCUGGCAAGAGAUCAGACUGUGAGGAUGGGGAUGUGAGCAGAUGUUGCUGUGGGAGGAACUGUGAACUGUAUGAUGAGCAGGAAACCUACAGCAGCAACCACGAGAACCUGGAGCCUGCCUGGAUGAGGGAUGAGCUCACGGUUCCCAUCCAGAGACCUCAAGAAGACAGUUUUUUUGGAGGCACUGUGGAGCACUUGAGGAGCAGCCAAGCUAGCAGGCAUCUCCCCUGCUUCUGGUCUGGAUUGCACACAGGCUCCUGCAAAGCUGCAAAAAGCAGCAGAGGGAAGCAGCAAGAUAUCUCCCCAGCAGGAAACAAGAUGGAAUAUGGUUUCCUAACCCUUUCCUAAGGAUGCUCAUAGUGCCAGUUGAUGAUCUGCAGGGACAGAUGCACCUCUGCUGCCUGAAAAUAGAGGACUGCAGCAGCAAAGGGGCAAACCCACUCCUGCCACGCAUGUUGUUGACUUGCAGAAAUCAAGAGAAAGGAAGAGACAGCCAGUGAUGCACAUGGAUAUAAAUGAGCGGCCACAGUAUGCUGAGAGAUUGACAGCCAAAUCUUUAGGCGCUGAGCUCUCUUCGCACAGACAGGCUGUUCAAAAGUCUUGGAGGUCUUGGAGGAAAUUCGUUAAAUCCUAAGGGAUAAACUAAUGGCACAAGAAACGAAGGAGAAACCAUUUUGUUCUGAGGAUGGCAUCUUGCCCGGUCAUCGACAGAUGAGUGGAAACCCACACACCAAGGGAUGCCGGAAGCAUGGCUUUUUCCCUUGGAACGAUGAGGAGCUCCAAAUGCAAAAUGUAUGAGUCAUUCUCUCAAACACCACGGUCAAGAAUGGAGGAGAGCAGGUCAUGGUACUCCUCCAAGCUCAGCCCCCAGAACAAGCUUGCCAGAUACCAAAAUGAGAUGUUAUGAUAUAUUUGGCUGGUGUAGCUGGUCUCCCCACUUCACACCCUCAAGCAGCAAAGCAGUGCUGGCUGGUAGAAAUCAACAGUAUAGACACAAUCCCUUUCGGUUUCCAGUGAAAGCUGGGAAUUUCUGGAGCUGUUUGUAGGUCCCAAGGAUUUCUGGGUGAGCAGAUGUACCUCUCCAUCCCAGUAGGAAUGAACAAGCUGCUAGGGCUGAGCUGGACAGCCAGAGAAGGUACUUUCCAAGGUCUGUGUUGCAUUCUCCAACAUGACCCUUUUCUUCUCCACCCAGAGCACAGGGGAUUUUGUAGUCUCUUUGGGAUGGCCUUGUCAAAUACUCUUGACCUGCUACAUGAAGCCCUGGAGGAAGGUAUUCCCCUUGGUUUGAUCCCCCACCAUUACGGUGAGAUAAGUGUGGAACAAUCCUUUAUUAAAGGGCCAUGAGAUCACUGAGGUCACUGGUCUGUAAAAUCACUGAGAAGCAGAAAAUGGAUCAUUGGCCUCUGAAAAUCCUAUAAAACUGUGGGGAAUAUCUCCAUUCCAGCCCUCGUCUGCUCUUGACAGUUUUUUACACCACAGAGACCUCUCUUGCUUCGAUGCUGUAAUCCAGGCAACAGCCAUCCCUUUCCUUGCCAGUGCCUCCCUUGAUGCAUACUGCGAAUUGGCUUUUCUGUGUCAUCGAGGCUUAGGGCCUAGUUUUUCAAUCCACCCUCUGUGAACGUGCUUAUCCUCCACGCAGAGACAGGCGUUGGCUUGAGCCACUCUUUGAGAUGCUUUUGGGUUUGAAGGGGGCGGUUUGUGUGCUUCACAUUGGGCUGAACUGCAAAGGCACAAGGAGAUUUCUUGUGCAAGAUGUGCAGCUGCAGGCUAUGGCACCAGGUAUGUGUGAAAAGGAAGAUAACUCUGAUCUACCUUUAGCAGAGUCCUUACAAAGGCUGGCACAGCUCUGAAGGGCUGCUGUGGAUUAGCUUUCCUUGUCACCUUUAUUUUGUUCUCCUUCUAAAGGACUGCUGCAAGGCCUAAUGAAGAGUCUUCCAUCUCUUGCCUUUACAAAAGCUCAUUCAGGGACUGAUGUUUGCUCCACGCUUGCAUUUUACCCUGGUUUAGUGGUUUAACUUCAGCCACAAUAAAAGGUAGUCUUCAUCCAUCACUUCUCUAAAUACUCCCUUGAUAUCCAGCCAGAAAAGGAUGAGAAAUCCAUACAGGAAGACUUCUCACCUGCUUAUUGCAGACAAGAAUGAUGCAAUGUGCCUUUCUGGUUGCGCCCAUUUUUGCAGGGUUAGGAGCC